GUAAUACUCAAGUUUAAAUCACCUAAUCCUAAAAUUCAGGGUUGCUGAGGAAACAAAAAUGCAUACAACAGUCAACAUUUAUAAUUGGACAAAUAAAUAAAUCCAUUAUCAUAGACCAAGAUAGCUGUUUGCAAUUAAUCCAUCAUCGAAAAUUAUAGAUUGGAAUAAAGGGUUAAUUGCCCUUUUCGACUAUCUCCUUAGGUGGUGGACUUUUUUCCGUGCGGUGAAGACUGAAGACUUUUCAAGGUGGAAGCGUCAGUGUGAAAUUCCACAAAUAAUUACAACAUACCUAAACUUGCCCCAGUUGUCAGCAAGCAUCUUUCUCCUGCUUGUUUUUCUUUCAACUCUGUGAAUCUAAAUGGCUCUGCAAAUGAGUUUUGCCAUUUUUCAUCAUCUCCUACUACUAACAAUUCUGUUACCAUUUUCCUUUGUUGCUCAAACUGUUGGAAAUUUCCCUGUGGGUGCAGCCCUUACUGCGGGUGGUGGAGCCUCUCCAUGGUUGUCUCCUUCUGGGGAUUUUGCAUUUGGGUUUCAACAACUUGAAAACAAGGAUUUAUUCCUACUCUCUGUCUGGUGUGAGAAGAUUCCUGAGAAAACCAUUGUUUGGUAUGCAAAUGGAGAUAAUCCUGCUCCAAGUGGAUCAAAGGUAGAGCUGACUGCUGACCACGGGCUUGUGUCUAGAAAUCCUACAGGUGAACAAAUUUGGAGCUCCAACAUCACUAACGGCCAAGUUUCUCAUGGUGUUAUGGAAGAUAAUGGCAACUUUGUUCUUCAAAAUGGAAGUCAUGGUGUGUUAUGGCAGAGCUUUGACCAUCCUACGGAUACAUUUUUGCCUACUCAAUCAUUGGAGAUUGGCGGUGUGCUCUUUUCUAGACGAACGGAGACAAACUUCUCACAGGGAAGGUUCCAGUUGCGUUUGCUUGAAGAUGGAAAUCUUUUGCUUAAUCCCAUAAAUUUGGAAACCAAAUUGGCUUAUGAUGCAUACUAUGUUAGCAGAACCUCUGACACCAGAAAUUCUUCAAAUUCUGGUUAUAGAUUGGUCUUUAACGCUGCAGGCGCCUUGUACAUAUUGAAAAGGGGCGGUGACGGAUUUUUCCUCUCAACAGUGACCGUACCGGCUGCAGACUUUUAUCAGAGAGCAACCCUCAAUUUUGAUGGUGUUUUCGCCCAGUAUUCUUACCCGAAAAGGUCCACAGGAAGUACAAAUUGGAGCACUAUUUUCACUCAACCGGAAAAUAUUUGUACUGCAAUUAAUGGAACUUUGGGUAGUGGAGCUUGCGGAUACAACAGCAUCUGUAGCCUUAAUGAUAAGCAAAGGCCAGCCUGUACCUGCCCGCAGGGGUUUUCCCUGCUUGAUUCGAACGAUGAGCAUGGAAACUGCAAACCAGAUUCUGAAGUAGGCUGUGAAGGAGAUUGGCUUAGUUCCAUGGAAGAUUCGGUUGAUUUUGUUGAGCUUAAUAAUACUGAUUGGCCAAAAUCUGAUUAUGAGCUGCUCAGGCCUUCCAGAGAGGAGGAAUGCAGAAAUUCUUGUUUGCAUGAUUGUCUAUGUGCAGUUGCAAUUUUUAGGCGCAGUAGCUGCUCGAAGAAGAAGCUACCACUCUCGAAUGGAAGACUCGAUAGAAGUGUUGAUGGGAAGGCUUUUGUCAAAAUUAAAAAAUAUAAUUCUCUUCCAGGCGAGAGGAAAAGCUGGAGGGCUGUAAUCAUCGCAGAAUCUGUUCUCUUGGGUAGCUCUGUGUUUAUCAACUUUGUGUUUUGUCUCAGGUUUUUCUUCUACCUAAGGAAACUUAGAAAAAAUGGCCAGGGAAGGAUCUCUGUGGAAACAAAUGUGCAUUGUUUUACAUACAAAGAGCUUGCAAGAGCUACAAAUGAUUUCAAGCAAGAACUUGGAAGAGGGGCAUUUGGUGUUGUUUACAAGGGAGAGAUGCAAAUAGGGUCCAUUAGUGCAAUCGCUGUCAAAGAACUGAACGAUUUGGUUCAAAAUGGUGAGAGAGAAUUCAAAACUGAAGUACAUGUUAUUGGACGGACACAACACAAGAAUUUGGUUCAAUUGAUAGGAUUUUGUGACGAGGGACACCACCGUUUGUUGGUGUAUGAAUAUUUGAGCAAGGGCACCUUAGCACAAAUGCUCUUUGGAAAAUCAAAGCCCAGUUGGAGCCUAAGAAUUGAAAUGGCCUCAGGGAUUGCAAGAGGACUUCUGUACCUGCAUGAAGAGUGCAGCAACACCCCUAUCAUUCAUUGCGAUAUAAAGCCUCAGAAUAUACUAAUUGAUGAUAAAUGCAAUGCUCGGAUAUCAGAUUUUGGAUUGUCAAAACUUUUGAUGAUGGAUCAGAGCCACACUCGCACUACCAUUAGGGGCACAAGAGGGUACAUUGCGCCAGAAUGGUUUAUGAGGACACCUAUCACUGUGAAAGUUGAUGUGUACAGCUUUGGUGUCACGUUGCUGGAAAUUGUUUAUUGUCGAAGAAGUGUUUAUACAGAAACUGAUGGUGAGGAGAUGAUUCUGAUUGAUUGGGCUUAUGAUAGCUGUAGGGAAGGAACACUUCAUAUCUUGGUUGAAGAUGAUGUCGAUGCCAUGAAUGACCGAGAGAACCUAGAGAGGCUUGUGAAGAUUGCAAUUUGGUGUGUUCAAGAGGAUCCAUCUCUUAGACCAACCAUGAGGGAGGUGUUGCAAAUGCUUGAAGGAGUUGUUGAAGUUCCUAUUCCCCCAAAUCCCUACUCCUUUAGUGCUGAUUGUUGAAGCGAG
rnacentral:misc_RNA from 1 species